UUAUUUUACUUAUUCCAUAAAUCAGAAGCGGGGCACUACCCCUUAUUUUCCAGAGAGAAUGAGAGCCCCAUUAUGCCUGAAUCCUAUCGCACCAUGAGGCAUUAUCUACGAGUUUGGUUGUUUGGAAAUGCAGCCUAAAUUGGGUGGUGAAUUCCAUCCAUUGCUAAAUACGGGCGACAGGUCGAUAGUGAACAAGUACCGCGAGGGAAAGAUGAAAAGUACUUUGAAAAGAGAGUCAAAGAAUGCUACGAUGAGUCAUGAUAACUCAAUGGAUCGCACGACCAUCAUGCCAGCGACGCAUCAUUCAAAUUUUUUUCCUAUCAAGUUUCGAUGAUAGGAUAGUGGCCUACCAUGGUGGUGAUGGGUGAUGGAGAAUUAGGGUUCAUUUUCAGAGAGGGAGCUUGAGAAACAACUACCACAUCUAAGGAAGGCAGCAGGCACGCAAAUUACCCAAUCCUAACAUGGGGAGGUAGUGAUAAUAAAUAAAAAUACUGGGCUCAAUGAGUCUGGUAAUUGGAAUGAGUACAAUCUAAAUCCCUUAAUGUGGAUCCAUUGGAGAGAGAGUCUGGUGCUAGCAGCCACGGUAACUCCAUCACUAAUAUCGUAUAUUUAAGUUGUUGCAGUUAAAAAGUUCAAAGUUUGACUUUGGGAUUGGACGGCCGAUCCGCCUAUGGUGUGCAUUAGUCGUGUCGUCCCUUCUGUCGGCGAUGCGCUCCUGGCCUUAACUGGCUGGGAUGUGCCUCCGGCGCUAUUACUUUGAAGAAAUUAGAGUGCUUAAAGCAAGCCUACGCUCUGUAUACAUUAGCAUGGGAUAACAUUAUAGGAUUUCAGUCCUAUUACGUUGGCCUUUGGUUUUGAAGUAAUGAUUUACAGGGACAGUUGGGAGCUUUGUAUUUCAUAGUCAGAGAUGAAAUUAUUGGAUUUAUCAAAUACGAACAAGUGCAAAAGAAUUUUCUGAGGAUUUUUUCAUUGAUCAAGAAGGAAAGUUAGGGGCUCGAAGUCGAUCAGAUACCAUCCUAGUCUUAAUCAUAAAUAAUGCCGACCAGGGAUCGGCGGAUGUUGCUUUUAGGACUCUGCCCACACCUUAUGAGAAAUCAAAGUUUUUGGGUUCUUGGGGGAGUAUGGUCAUAAGGCUGAAGCUUAAAGGAAUUGACAGAAGGGCACCACCAGGAGUGGAGCCUGCAGCUUAAUUUGACUCAACCCGAGGAAACUUACCAGGUCCAGACAUAGUAAGGAUUAACAGACUGAGAGCUCUUUCUUGAUUCUAUUGGUGGUGGUGCAUGGCCGCUCUUAGUUGGUGGAGGGAUUUUUCUUGUUAAUUCAGUUAACGAAUGAUAACUCAGCCUACUAACUAGCUAUGCGGAGGUAUCCCUUCGUGGCCAUCUUCUUAGAGGGACUACGACAUUUUAGGCCGCGGAAGUUUGAGGCAAUAAUAGGUCUGUGAUGCCCUUAGAUGUUCUUGGCCGCACACGCACUCCACUAAUGUAUUCAUUGAGUUUAUAGCCUUGGCCGACAGGGCGGGGUAAUCUUUGCAAUUUCAUCGUGAAGGGGAUAGAUCAUUGCAAUUAUUGGUAUUUCAACGAGGAUUUGCUAGUAAGAGAGAGUCAUCAACUCACGUUGACUACGUCCCUGCCCUUUGUACACACCGCCCAUCGCUCCUACCGAUUAAAUAAUCUGGUGAAAUGUUCAAAUUACGGCCACGUGGGCAGUUCGCUGCCCGCGAAGUUGGUAGAAGUCCGUUGAACCAUAUCAUUUAGAGGAAGGAGAAAUCUUAACAAGGUUUUUGUAGAUGAACCUACGAAAG
rnacentral:rRNA from 1 species